rnacentral:rRNA from 1 species
UACGAAGGGGGCUAGCGUUGCUCGGAAUUACUGGGCGUAAAGGGCGCGUAGGCGGCACUGUUAGUCAGGCGUGAAAGUCCUGGGCUCAACCUGGGAACUGCGCUUGAUACGGCAGAGCUAGAGGAUGGAAGGGGGUCGCGGAAUUCCCAGUGUAGAGGUGAAAUUCGUAGAUAUUGGGUGGAACACCGGUGGCGAAAGCGGCUCUCUGGCCCGGAUCUGACGCUGAGGCGCGAAAGCGUGGGGAGCAAACAGG